CUGGGUUCUGCAAUAUUGAUUUGAAUGGAUGGAAGGGAAGAAAAACCUAGUGGCCUAUGAAUAAGUAAGUAAUGGAUAAUAUGGGCUAAAUCAAAAGCCAUUCAAACUGAAUAGGAUAUGUGUUCUCAAUGAUGCAGAGGUCCAGUGCGUCUUUCUCUCUACAUGAGGGCUCAGCAAAGUGUGGUACUGAACAGCACUGUCAAGCCUCCUCAUGUCACAUCUCUAAUAUCCGCCAACUAUAAAGCAAAGAAUAAAGACGGGGCUGCGAGAAAAAAUCAAAAAAAGAUGUCAAAUCUUUGCUGAAUUAAUCUCAUUUAAAGAACUAAACCCUUUUGCUACAUUAUGUAAAAUAUUCAGGGUUGUUUUACAUCAGAGCAGCUAGGCAGGAUUGUUGAGAACGGGGUUUUGACGGACAGAGCGACGAACCAAUGUUUUGCAGUGAUCGUACCACUACUACAGCUUAUUAGAUUGCUGCAAAGACUGUGUUGUAUGACUUUUAAAAUCUUAAUUACACAUUUCCUCUGAAGGCUUCAGUUCUUUUUUGAAUAAACAACACGUAAUCAUCAGGGGUUUUAAUUUACCCAGCAGGAGGAGCUGUGCUAAAUACCAUCUAUCUGAAAGAAGCACCCCCUCCAAAAACCUUGACUAGUUUCCUUUUUUUUCUGUUUUUUCUCUGCUCCUCUUCCUCUGCAGGAAACAGCUCUGGAGCGCUGGGCCCCGCCAGGCCCCGGCUAGCUGUGAUGCGUGUUCAACACGACAACACUGCUGUUCAGACAGACACGGCUGAAGACGCUCGGUUGAUAGUGUGGCAUCAUUUACACAAGCUCCCGCACACCGUCCCUCUGUUGUCCCCUCCAUUCUGCACCUUUUCAGCAGCCCCCCUCCCUCUCUUUGUCACUCCGACCCCACAACCCUAAAUCCCCCCAGCACACGGCGACAUGGCAGACAGGCCGCCACGCAGAC